GCUAGUGUGGCUAAGUGGUUGAGCGUCAGCCUGUGAACUGGGAGGUCAUGGUUCGAUUCCAUGUCAGGGCA
rnacentral:tRNA from 1 species